rnacentral:rRNA from 1 species
GACGUAGGGCGCGAGCGUUGUCCGGAUUUAUUGGGCGUAAAGAGCUCGUAGGCGGCUUGUCGCGUCGUCCGUGAAAACCUGGGGCUCAACCCCAGGCUUGCGGUCGAUACGGGCAGGCUGGAGUUCGGUAGGGGAGACUGGAAUUCCUGGUGUAGCGGUGAAAUGCGCAGAUAUCAGGAGGAACACCGGUGGCGAAGGCGGGUCUCUGGAACGCAACUGACGCUGAGACGCGAAAGCGUGGGGAGCAAACAGG